GAUGAACGCUGGCGGCGUGCCUAAUACAUGCAAGUCGAGCGAACAGACGAGGAGCUUGCUCCUCUGACGUUAGCGGCGGACGGGUGAGUAACACGUGGAUAACCUACCUAUAAGACUGGGAUAACUUCGGGAAACCGGAGCUAAUACCGGAUAAUAUAUUGAACCGCAUGGUUCAAUAGUGAAAGACGGUUUUGCUGUCACUUAUAGAUGGAUCCGCGCCGCAUUAGCUAGUUGGUAAGGUAACGGCUUACCAAGGCAACGAUGCGUAGCCGACCUGAGAGGGUGAUCGGCCACACUGGAACUGAGACACGGUCCAGACUCCUACGGGAGGCAGCAGUAGGGAAUCUUCCGCAAUGGGCGAAAGCUUGACGGAGCAACGCCGCGUGAGUGAUGAAGGUCUUCGGAUCGUAAAACUCUGUUAUUAGGGAAGAACAAAUGUGUAAGUAACUAUGCACGUCUUGACGGUACCUAAUCAGAAAGCCACGGCUACCUACGU
rnacentral:rRNA from 1 species